rnacentral:rRNA from 1 species
AGUGAACGCUGGCGGUAGGCCUAACACAUGCAAGUCGAACGGCAGCACAGUAAGAGCUUGCUCUUACGGGUGGCGAGUGGCGGACGGGUGAGGAAUACAUCGGAAUCUACUUUUUCGUGGGGGAUAACGUAGGGAAACUUACGCUAAUACCGCAUACGACCUACGGGUGAAAGCAGGGGAUCUUCGGACCUUGCGCGAUUGAAUGAGCCGAUGUCGGAUUAGCUAGUUGGCGGGGUAAAGGCCCACCAAGGCGACGAUCUGUAGCUGGUCUGAGAGGAUGAUCAGCCACACUGGAACUGAGACACGGUCCAGACUCCUACGGGAGGCAGCAGUGGGGAAUAUUGGACAAUGGGCGCAAGCCUGAUCCAGCCAUACCGCGUGGGUGAAGAAGGCCUUCGGGUUGUAAAGCUCUUUUGUUGGGAAAGAAAAGCAGCAGGUUAAUACCCCGCUGUUCUGACGGUACCCAAAGAAUAAGCACCGGCUAACUUCGUG